rfam:Canis lupus familiaris chromosome 25, whole genome shotgun sequence.
GUGCUCGCUUUGACAACAUAUAUACUAAAAUUAGCAGGAUACAGAUAAGAUUAGCAUGGCCUCUGCAUAAGAAUGACAUGCAAAAAGUGCAUAAACAGCCAUUAUGG